GGACCUUAGGAGUAAUGAUAUCCGAGAUUUCAAGUUCAAAUCUUAAUUGAUUUACAUUUUCAACUAAAUUUAUUUUUUAAUGAAAUAAACGAAACGGAUACCAAGCUAUCUAUUUCUGAAAAAAAUUUUAACAAAAAUUUUAGCAUUUUAAGUUACAAAAUUUUACUCAGAAAACAGCACAAAAUAGACUUUUUAAUUUACAAAUCCAAGAGUCCAGGCAAAAAU
rnacentral:lncRNA from 1 species